ACGGCUCAGUAACACGUGGACAACCUACCCUGAAGAGGGGGAUAACCCCGGGAAACUGGGGAUAAUACCCAUAGACUAUGGAUGCUGGAAUGCUCUGUAGUUCAAAGGUCCGCCGCUUCAGGAUGGGUCUGCGGCCGAUUAGGUUGUUGUUGGGGUAACGGCCCAACAAGCCUGUAAUCGGUACGGGUUGUGGGAGCAAGAGCCCGGAGAUGGAUUCUGAGACACGAAUCCAGGCCCUACGGGGCGCAGCAGGCGCGAAAACUUUGCAAUGCGAGAAAUCGUGACAAGGGAACUCCGAGUGCCUGUAAAAUCAGGCUGUCCGCCAGUGUAAACAACUGGUGAAGAAAGGGCCGGGCAAGACCGGUGCCAGCCGCCGCGGUAAUACCGGCGGCUCGAGUGGUGGCCACUAUUACUGGGCUUAAAGCGUUCGUAGCUGGUCUGUUAAGUCUCUGGGGAAAUCUUCCGGCUUAACCGGAAGGCGUCUCAGGGAUACUGGCAGACUAGGGACCGGAAGAGGUGAGAGGUACUCCAGGGGUAGGAGUGAAAUCCUGUAAUCCUUGGGGGACCACCUGUGGCGAAGGCGUCUCACCAGGACGGCUCCGACAGUGAGGAACGAAAGCUGGGGGAGCAAACCGGAUUAGAUACUCGGGUAGUCCCAGCUGUAAACGAUGCGCGUUAGGUGUAUCGGUGACCACGAGUCACCGAGGUGCCGAAGAGAAAUCGUGAAACGCGCCGCCUGGGAAGUACGGUCGCAAGGCUGAAACUUAAAGGAAUUGGCGGGGGAGCAC
rnacentral:rRNA from 1 species